AGGCCAGCACCACCUAAAGAGCAAAAGUUGGCCAUCCAGAAGUUCAAUACACAAGUACCAAUUAAUAAGGUAACUUGUGCUACAGCCAUGAAAAAGAAGUGUGAAGAUUUGGACUUGUGCUUACUGCCAUGUUUGUAAUAAGAUACUAUAUAACUCGCAUUUCUUAUAUGUUCCUUGUUCAUUUGUGUGCUUUCAUUUUAAAGCUCAUAUGGUCGUUUCUUGACGCAACUGCAUGCACAUACUGUCGAUAUUAUACGUAUAAUUUCUAAUGCUAAUUUUUUCUACGUCAUAUCAGGUUACAGAAUGGCCGCCAGAUGUGUUAAAAAUUUGUUCAUACAUAUGAACAUGGACGAUUACUUGACACAUGAAUGGUAUGGAAAUCAGGAUCUAGCUCAAUUUAAUCUGAAAGCAGCAACAUGAAUGGUAUGAAAUAGUAAAAUUUCAUUUCCCUCGUGGCAUGCAGCAUCUUGUCGCACCAUGCCUCUCCUACUCGCUCGCAGGCGCCCCCGGACCAGUUCAUCAUGAAUCGCCAAAGGACAGGGGUCCGACACUCAAAGCAUCAGAGCAACCAAAUUGAUGGUGAUUAACUGAUGUACUUUUCCUUUAAUCAUCCAGCAAACCAACCUCUGAUGUUGAUAGUAAAAAAGAAACUUUUCUAUGGUAUUAUCUUUCUAGCAAUAAUGGUCAGGCAUGACCAAACAUAAUAAGAUAAAUGUAUAACCCAGAUUUUGAAAAAAAAAUCUUGCAUGAUCAUUAUAUUUAUAGCAGUAAUUUGCGCUUGUGAUGAUCAGUGAAGUUUUGCAUCAUACACAUAUUUCUAGACAGACAUUCGGGAUUUUGUUGUGUCUUGCAUUCAUGUGCUCUUAUUCCCCAACUUAUUUUUGUAACAAGAAGAGGAUUAAAGAUGAGUCGGGAUCAUCAACUCACCAUCUAUGCAGCAGUAAUCACUCUUAACCCCCCCCCCCCCCCCCCCUUUGUUUGGUGAUCGCAUAAUAGUCUCCUUUGCUGUUUUUAUGGUGCCUUUUUUAACCGGUACAAAUUUCAGAGAUUCCUCAUACAUUUGGAUGGUUUGCGCUGCUUUGAACUGUAAAAUUUAUAUUUGGAUGUUUUUAUGGUAACGCGUAUGGACGGUCAACAGUCCACCCAAGCAUGGCCUUCGACUUACCAAAAGUUAGACCGUGGACGGACUAGCAAGCCAAUAUCUUCUUUCCAGUUAACUUGCACACCUUUUCUUCUAUUUUGUGAUGCCAUGUGAGAGACUAUAUUAGACGUGUCAUUUAGUUGUCCCAAAUUACUAAUUCUUUCGCAGAUUCAGAAGCCACCACAACUUGGGUCACUAUUGAAAGGGCUCUUGGCCUAUUUUCUCGUUUACUAAUUGGACUAAUGACAUAAAUUAUUUUGGUGUCUUAUUUCUUAUUUAAUUUCUGUAGUGAUGUUUAUGUAUAGUUUAUUCAUAGAUGGUAAGACCAAGUAGGCCGAUGUCAAAUGCAUUAUAGAUCAUGACAGAGUUGACACUAAUUUCAUAUCUGCAAGUUUUUUUGAUCCUGUACCAAAACUAUUGUUGAUGCUUUAGUAGCCCUGUGCUUGUAGAGCAGAGGAUCACUUCCAUGUUAUAUUUUCAAUGCAUACUUUGAAUUGGUACUUUUACUUUUGGGGUUGCCCUCAAUGAUCGCCGCUAAUUUCCAGCCUACAUAAUAAUGCCAAAAGUAGAAGUAUGCACUGCAAAAUUUUGGGGAGCAACAUGAAUCAUGGUUUAGGCAAGCAUAUCUUUGUUCUGGCGUUGUACAGAUAGUAAAGCUCUCUAAUGUGGCGAAAUCAUGCUUUGUGGAGUGCUUAUUGCUUUCCUGUUUUUCAGGAAACAUGAUUGUUCCUUUUCCCUAUCCAAUAUGGAUGCGGUGAGUUGUUG
rnacentral:lncRNA from 1 species